UAGGGAAUCUUCCGCAAUGGACGCAAGUCUGACGGAGCAACGCCGCGUGAGUGAAGAAGGAUUUCGGUUCGUAAAACUCUGUUGUUAGAGAAGAACAGCGCAUAGAGUAACUGUUAUGCGUGUGACGGUAUCUAACCAGAAAGCCACGGCUAACUACGUGCCAGCAGCCGCGGUAAUACGUAGGUGGCAAGCGUUGUCCGGAUUUAUUGGGCGUAAAGCGAGCGCAGGCGGUCAAUUAAGUCUGAUGUGAAAGCCCCCGGCUCAACCGGGGAGGGUCAUUGGAAACUGGUUGACUUGAGUGCAGAAGAGGAGAGUGGAAUUCCAUGUGUGACGGUGAAAUGCGUAGAUAUAUGGAGGAACACCAGUGGCGAAGGCGACUCUCUGGUCUGUAACUGACGCUGAGGUUCGAAAGCGUGGGUAGCAAACAGG
rnacentral:rRNA from 1 species